ensembl:lncRNA
CUGUGAUUGGCCCAGUAUAGGUUCAGGGAACGAAUUGAUUGGCCCAAUUUGUUUUCAUAAACACAUUCAUUUUCCAUUUUAAAUUAAUAUCUGCUGCUGAUGGGAUGACUUCUCUAAGCUGAGUGACCGUACGAUGUGUGUAGACAGGGCAGAGUAACUAGUAAUAGUAUAUAUAUAGUAAUGAAUAUCUGCUGCUGAUGGGAUGACUUCUCUAAGGUGAGUGACCGUACGGUGUGCGUGGACACCUGAGAGAACCAUAGGCCAGACUGAGCAUCUACCAUCCCACUAUCAGAUUAGGGAUGGUGGCAAUUUAUGCUUUUUGGCCCAAACUUUUUAUCUGACAUCACCCACUGAUUAACAUUGGGGUGGCAGGUAGCCUAGUGGUUAGAGUGUAGGGGCGGCAGGUAGCCUAGUGGUUAGAGUGUAGGGGCGGCAGGUAGCCUAGUGGGUAGAGUGUAGGGGUGGCAGGUAGCCUAGUGGGUAGAGCGUUUGGCCAAGUAACCGAAAGGUUGCUGAAUCAAAUCCCCGAGCUGACAAGGUAAAAAUCUGUCGUUCUGCCCCUGAACAAGACUUGUAACCCAUUGUUCCCGGUAGGCUGUCAUUGUAAAUAAGAAAUUGUUCUUAAUUGACUUGCCUGGUUAAAUAACGGUUACAUUUUAAAAAACGUUAAAAAAUCUAACCAAAUACACUGACUGUUUAAAUCAAAACAACCAACACUGUUACCGUAAUUGCUGGACUAUUAAGCGCACCUGAAUAUAAACCGCACCC